AAAUUGUUUACAGGCACUCAAGUUUCUGCGUGUGUAAUUGUGGCAUUAGAAUGAAUCGAACAAAAGUCGAGGAAAAAAAAUGUGAAUUAGGAAAAAUCGACGUUACUUCUCCAACAGAAGUUGUUGAUUAUGCAGCUGGUCUGCAUCGUGAAAUUACUGAGGAAACCAAUAAGAUAGCGUUUUUAUGUAAAACUGUGGAACAGAAGGAUGACCUAAUUAAACUUU